CCAACGCGCAUGCGCACUUGACUUCAUUCCGUUAGCUGUCAAAGUAGAAUGUUUUCCUCCCUCCACAGGGACCAAAGUUAGCGCAAAGACCAGCUUCCAGCUAAUUUUUAACUUACAAAGCCACGGACAACUACACAGGAAGGACGUUUAAGAACACAGACCAAACGUCGGGCUCAGGGGGCUGUUUUCUAAGAGCUGAGGUGAACAACUUGGACGCUGUCGUCGUUCCUCGAACGGUAACGUGCUAACGUCUGCCUAGAAACCUGGAGCUUAACUAAUGCUAAAGGUUGCACCGAGCUUCAAGAAGAGACUUUUAAUUACCUUCACAUUUAAACAGUUAAAGUAGAACAGGCAUCGAGGGCAAACUAUGGUCGUUACAAUAUUGGAGGGUGUGACCCAGAACAGCGGAUAAUAAAAGUAAACCACGUGUCCCGUUGCGAUGGGCAACCGCGGGAUGGAGGACCUGAUCCCGCUGGUCAACCGCCUCCACGAGGCGCUGGGCAGCGUGGGACACAGCUGCAGCCUCCAGCUGCCGCAGAUCGCUGUGGUGGGCGGCCAGAGCGCCGGGAAGAGCUCGGUCCUGGAGAACUUCGUGGGCAGAGAUUUCCUUCCACGGGGCUCAGGAAUUGUCACGCGCAGACCUUUAAUCCUUCAGCUGCUUCAUGCCAACACAGAGUAUGGUGAAUUUCUUCAUUGCAAAGGAAAGAAGUUCACAGACUUUGAUAAGGUGUGCAAGGAGAUCGAGGCAGAGACAUGCAGGGUUACAGGAUCCAAUAAGGGCAUCUCUUCUGUCCCUAUCAGUUUACGCAUCUAUUCACCACAUGUUUUGAACCUGACUCUUGUAGACCUGCCUGGAAUUACCAAAGUCCCAGUGGGUGACCAGCCAGCUGACAUAGAGUACCAGAUACGAGACAUGAUCAUGCAGUAUAUCUGUAAUGAGAACUGUCUCAUCCUGGCUGUUUCACCAGCCAAUGCUGACCUGGCCACCUCUGAUGCACUCAAACUGGCCAAAGAUGUUGACCCGCAGGGCCAGCGCACAAUUGGUGUAAUCACUAAGCUGGACCUCAUGGAUGGAGGAACAGAUGCACGAGAAAUACUGGAGAACAGGUUGCUUCCACUACGCAGAGGUUACAUAGGGGUGGUAAAUCGCAGUCAGAAGGACAUUGAUGGGAAAAAGGACAUUAAAGCAGCUCUGGAUGCAGAGAGGAAGUUCUUUCUGUCCCAUCCAUCCUACAAACACAUGGCUGAACGGAUGGGAACUCCAUAUUUACAAAGGAUUCUCAACCAGCAACUGACAAACCACAUCCGGGACACUCUGCCAGCCUUCCGUAGUCAUCUGCAGAGUCAGCUCCUGGCCUUGAACAAAGAGGCUGAAGAGUACAGGAAGUACAGUCCUGAUGACCCUGCACGUAGGACCAAGACAUUGCUGCAGUUAGUUCAGCGCCUGGCUGUUGACUUUGAGAAGUUAAUCGAGGGCUCAGGCGACAAAGUAGACACAGUUCAUUUGUCUGGAGGGGCUAAAAUCAACAGAAUCUUCCACGAGCGCUUCCCCUAUGAACUGGUCAAGAUUAAAUUUGAUGAAAAGAAGCUGCGGCAGGAAAUCAACUACGCCAUAAGAAACAUCCACGGUGUCAGGACAGGUCUGUUCACUCCAGACUUGGCCUUUGAAGCCAUAGUGAAGAAACAAAUACUGAGAGUAACAGGUCCAUGUAUGAAGUGUAUUGACAUGGUCAGUCAAGAAUUAAUUACCACUGUGUACCAGUGCAUUGACAAGCUCACUUCCUUUCCCACACUGAGAAAUGAGACGGAGAGAAUUGUGACCUCUGAAAUCCGAGAACAGGAGAGUAAAUGCAGAGAGCAGGUGAUGUUGCUCAUUGACAUACAGCUUGCCUACAUUAAUACCAGACAUGAAGAUUUUGUGGGCUUCACUAACGGCCAGCAGAUGUACACCCAAGGCAAUAAGAAGGUUCCUGAGAGGAUGACAGGAAACCAGGGUGUGGCCCCUCCCUCAAGUCUAAUAGUGAUACGCAAAGGAUGGUUGACACUCAAUAACAUCAGCAUCAUCAAAGGCGGAGCCAAGGAGUACUGGUUCAUCCUCACAGCAGAGACUCUGUCUUGGUUCAAAGAUGAUGCGGAGAAAGAGAAGAAGUUUAUGCUUCCCCUGGACAACUUAAUGCUCAAAGAUGUGGAGAAAGGCUUCAUGUCCAGCAAAUGUGCCUUUGCUAUCUUCAGCACAGAGUUAAGGGUGGACAUGAGAGGAGAAAAGGGCGCGAAUAGCAGAUUGGAGUUUUGCACUUCCUAUGAGCUCUUCUAUUCAACUUUGCCACAGGAAGUGAAAAGCACAUCCAGUAGGUACGGCAGUGGGUGUAGUUUUAUCAUCUCAGAGUAAGCGCUAGGCUGUAGGGGAUAGGGCAGAGACGGAGUUUGCUGUCUGUGAAGCAGAUUGAAAAACAGAGAGACAAGAGACAGAGAGCGUGUGUGUGUUUAGGUGCUGGACCUGACCCAAAACCUGGCUGAUUGUACCAGAGCAUGUGGGAUUUGUUUAUAAUUCUGUGCUAUGUUGCAUUCGGACACAGACUAGAAUCAGCUUUGUGUGUGUGUGUGUGUGCGUGUGUGCGUGUGUAUGUGUGUGUGUGUGCCUGUAUAGACCACAGCAUACCGACGGCAGGCUCAUUAAGCAGCUAAUCAAAGCCAGAGAGCUUGGAUCAGAGAUGAGGCUGCUCUUGUUUGGAAAGAAUUGCUCGACUCACCACAAAAAGAGGGGAGAGAGAAGAAUUGGAAGGGUUGAGAGGAGAAAGAAAGAGGGAGAGCGAGAGUAUCAGAGACAUCAGCCAGGAAUGUGUCAAAGUCUGUCCUGUGGCGCCCCCCUUUUCCCUGCGCCCUCACGCGCUCUGUUUCUCUUUCUGCAUGUGUGUGUGUGUGUGUGUGUGUGUGUGGGGCAGACAUUGCAGUGGUUCUGUCUGUGUCUGACAGUAAUCAAAACUGCAGGAAACUCUUCAAAUCCAAAGCAGUUAGGGGAACAGAAAUGCUAAGAUGGGUGAAAGAAGCUAGCGAAAGGGCAGCGAUGCGGUGAAAGACUUCUGAUAUGAGCCAUAAAAAGAGUAAAGGGAGCAACUUUACUGUGUAAUAUCAUGUGCAAUAUCAUGGUAGUAUUGUCAUUGUUGGCCUGGCUCCCUGUCCGUUAGCCACCACGCCCUGACUUACAGUAUUAGCCUCACCCGUUCUGUCCUGGCCAUAAGCUGACAAAGUGACAGCCUCCUUCUUGAUCUUCUGUAGAGCGCUCUGUUGCCGCAACCCUCUGUUUUUCUCUGUCCGUUUCUGUUUGUCUCUCAUUCUCACAAAAGGUUUCGCAUAUUUGAGGUUAAUUACUGUGUGUUUCGAAUGUGAGAAGGGAACAACAAAAGGAGGAAAGAAACAACGGAGUGAUUAAGGAGAAAUGUUUAACAGAUGGACACCAGCGCUCCAGAUCCUCCGCUCGCUUCUCGCUCUGCUGCGCGGCCUCCACAGCUGAAGCACGGAGAUGCUGCAUGCGUGAGCGUGUGGAGGGGAAAGUGGGAGGAAAGGUAGACAGGGGAAGCGGAUGCAAGCUAGAAUGUAGAUCAUGACGUGAGUGCAUUUUCAUUUAGAUACAUUCAUCUAAAACUGACUAAAACCCUGCUCAUCGCCAGUCAUUGUCCCAAAAGUCUGUGAGGUUUGUGUGAAAUCAAUUUUCAUUUACUUGAUGACGGAGGUAUUAAAUACUUUAUCAAUGGGAGUAGCUCAGGUGCGUUUCAUGUGAGCAGAGGCCACUUGGUCCCACUCGCUUUUUUUUAACAGCCCCAUGUUAAUGGGUUCACAUGUGGUACAUGAACGCAACCUUGUUUCACAAACAUUCAACUCGUGUACAAAGUGGGUUCGGAGCGAGGGAGUGAACAAGGGGCUAUUACGAAAUCAGAAUACCAGCACUUAGAACAUCCAUUUGCUCGUGGUACAUUGUUCAACUCUGAAGUCUUCUCGCUGCUACUUGACAACAUUUAAAAUGGCUCAACUCAGAUAGAGCAUGUGGCGGACAGCUUUUUGCAGGGCACACGCCUUUCCACGAAGGAGACAACGUCUGACUAAAAGUGAUGUCGGAACGUAUAUAAGGACUACAAAUGCCUGGAGCUGGCCUGCAACUCCCAGGAGGAGCUGGACAGCUGGAAGGCUUCUCUGCUACGCGCCGGAGUGUACCCUGAGAAAAUCCCU